rnacentral:misc_RNA from 1 species
UCUGGCUGGUGGGUUAGGUGGCUCG